rnacentral:misc_RNA from 1 species
AAGUCGUAACAAGGUCUCCGUAGGUGAACCUGCGGAGGGAUCAUUAACACUUUUUCUUAGGAAAGAGCUCCCAUACUCUUUUCUUUUACCAACCGUGAACUAACUUAUGCCCCGAUUGGUCUAUAUGAAUUUCGGUUCUGUAGGCUGGUCCAUUUUUUUUUCUAUUGUUAUUUUAAAACCUUUUAUCCAACUACUAACACUAUAGCCAUACAGUACUUUUGAUACAUUUUUUAUAAAUGUAUGAAUUUGUACAGUGAUAUAGUAAAGUAACUAAAAGCACAACUCUUAGCAACGGAUAUCUCGGUUCUC